UCUAUGCAUCCAUCCAUCCAUCCAUCCAUCCAUCCAUCCAUCCAUCCCACUUCUUAAUCUUGUGUUCAUAUAGCCUUAUGUUGCAUUUAUCAGACUUCUUUGAAAACUGUCAAAAUAUCUUUCUAGGAAUCCUGACACCCCUCACCCAGCACCUUUGAUGGGGUUUCAGUACAGUCAUCUAGGGCAGCAGCAUUGCUUUACCAAAAUGGAUCUGACUGAAACCGCCUACUCAAUAAAGUAAAGCAGACAGCAGGUGAAAUAGCCAGGUGCCCACAUUACAGCUCUGAAAAGAUCCCUUUGGAGUAUCUUGUGCUCUUAGUGUCCCUGAAGUGGUUCUGAGCAGCUACAACAGAAGGCAUGAAAUAUCAGGAGUGUUUGUUUGCCUGGGUAUAUGCAGUCAGAGAUAGAGUCCUGUUUGUGUGUAUGAGACUGGGGUUUCCCCCCUCGCCUGGUGGUAAUGUUGCAAGAACAAACUUUCCCUUCCCUGGCUCCCUAGGGUAAAAUGGCUGCCAAGAUAUUUUGGAACAGAAACUUAAGAGUGUCUUGGCCACCGUGAGGCAGUAACAAGGGUCCUUUGAUAUUUUCUAUGUUCUCUGUGGUCAAGCUGUCAUCUGUUUUCUUCUGAGGGUCUGAGAUGUCAUGGGCCAAUACUGACUUGUGACCUGUUUCUCUGAAGGAUAUCCUGUAGGAGAUGGCUCCUAUUUGCAUUGGAAGGCCAGAAGGAGAAGCUCUUUUUAGAGGAGUUCUUGGGGAGUCCACUAGGGAGGAGACCAAACACAAUGGGAAAUGUUUAACAAUUAAAACCAGCUCUUGCCUGUGUGGCCCUGUGUUUUACAUCACUUCAUGGAAAUAGACAGCUUAGAAGAAGCCUGGCAGAUGAUAGAACCAAAGACCCGCUAAGCAAAAUCUAUAAGAUCUUGGAUGUGAGGCAUGGAAAUGGAGAUGAACCUGAACUGAGAGCAGCUUUCCAAAGACUGUCACACCGCUGGGAUACAGACUGAACAAAGGAGCCUCCUUCAUGAGCAGACAGAAAAACAUGUAACCCCCUGAGUUCCACAUUACUUCAAAAAUCACCUCCAGAUACUCACACUGAAAUUGGAAACUG